CAUAAAAGUAAACACUCUUCCAUGGUGUCACUGCGGUGCUUCCUCUCGUCACUCACGCACCAACGGUUGCCCUGUCAAGAACCCGCUGCCCAGACACGGCCGUCACUCCUCAUCCACUAUCUUAGAAUGAGGCUCCUCGUUUUGCUGUUCCUGUGUGUGGCGGUUGUCUCCGCGUACAAUAAAGCAUAUUGUCCACCUGUGGAUCCGAACAUUCAUUGCAUUUGGUUCAACGAGAAGUGCAGUGAAUCCAAACCCUGUGGCUACCUGCAGCGGUGUUGUCCUGUCCCUUGUGGCACCGAGUGCCUCUCAUUGCUGUAAAGAUUUUGGUGAAACCCAGCUCGUGUACGCCGCUGCACUGACACCCACGCUUCCUUUGUUGUGUCCGCCACGCACGGCACACCACAGCGGAGCGUUACUUCCCAUAGUAACGACUGCACUGUUAAUGGUGUUGAGACGUGAUUCUCUACAAAAUCAGUUGUAAAAUUAUACUUUGCAUGCUUCUGAACUUUGAGAAAUGUAGUUAUUUGAAAUAUACAGACGCUGAAAGUU